GCGCGGCCGUUGGGCGGCGGGGGCAGGCCGGAGUGCGCAGGCGGAUUCUGCGGGUCCCCCGCGGCAUGGCGGGGCACCACUCCGUGCCCGGCGAGCUCAGCCUCAUGGACAAGGGCAUCAACAGCUUACUGGAGGUCUCCCUGAGUUCGGACCUGCAGACGCUCAACCUGCACAGUAACUGCAUCGCCAGAAUCGAAGGGCUCAGCCACCUCCGUUAUUUGCAGCACUUAGAUCUGUCAUCGAACCAAAUCCGCCGGAUGGAGGGGCUCAGUUCCUUGGCUAAUCUGCGAACACUGAGCUUGUCUUGUAACCUGAUAACAAAAGUGGAGGGGCUGGAAAAACUCUUUAAUUUAACUGCAGUGAAUUUGUCAUAUAAUCGCAUCCAUGAUCUCUCUGGAUUUCAGUGCCUUCAUGGAAACAGUUACAAGAUUAGCCAUAUUGACCUCCACAGCAACUGUAUAAACAGUAUUGACCACUUACUGGAGUGCACAAAGGGGCUGCAGUGUUUGACAAGUCUGACACUAGAAAAAAAUGGAAAAGGCAACCCAGUUUGCCACACAUCAGGUUAUAGAGAAACUGUUCUUCAGACAUUGCCCCAGCUAACAGCUCUAGAUGGAAGAACUAUUUGUGGUGAACCAGUGGAUCCAGCUGAAGGAAACCGCUCAGAUUUGCAGUGUUUAGAAGACAUUUGGGACUGUUUGGUUUCAUCUGGACGCCACUCAUCCAGAGAUCAGAACUUCGUUACCUUCCCAGUGGUGACGCCCCACAUUGACCAGGCGCUGGCUCAUUUUCAUCAGCGUAGAAGAACAGCAGUAGAAAGUGGCAGCUCCUCUGCAGAGCUUGUCUCUUCUUCAGAACCAGAGAAGGCUGAACUUGAUAAAAUAUACAGUGAGAUGAGAAUUAAGAAAAUAGAAGAUCAAAUUUCACAGAUACUGCAAAAGGUAUCUGAUGCCUCAAGAAGUGAAGCUCCUUCAAAUGCUCGCAAAGCUAAAAGAGAUACAGAUCCUACUUCUGAGAGUGAAAAUGAGAGUGGGAAGGAAAACAGAAAAGUUGUAAAGAGAAGCAAGAUUCCUAUGUACCGUAGAACUACCUUAUCUGCCAAGCAUCUUAAGAACAAAACAGCUGACAGGGAAGAGAAGAGUUCCUCAAAGUGUCCGCACUCCAGUCAGAGAGACCGUCACCUCAAUUCAUCAUCGGACACACGAGACUUGGAGAUAGUGGGAAGAAAAGCUGAAAUGUUAGCUGGAAGGCAGAGCAAUGUAGAAAAAGGAGAAGAAAUGAAUUCAAAUGCCACAGAGGAAUCGACAUACCGCGCACUGGUUCAAAAACUGGAUCAGGAGAAAGAAAGGAGGUGGAAAGCAGAGCAAGCAGAGAAGAAAUUAAUAGAGCAUGUCAGAGAGCUACAGAAACAUGCAAAAGAAGAAAAGAAUAUUCAGAGCAUGGCUGUAUACACUACAGACAGAUUAAAGGAACUGAUACUUAAAGAGAGGGAUGUUAAGGAAGGGCUGCAAGCAGAUGUCAAGAAGUUGAAAGGUGAAAUGGAAGGACUUACUAAUGAAUUAAAUGAGGCAAGAAAUAAAGAAGCAACAUAUAAGAAGGCCAUACAAGCUUUAGAAGAAACACUGUCCAAGACUGAGACACAGAGAUUGCAUCAACGAACAAUUGAGAUGAAACAGGUGCAAGAAGCAGAGCUGAAAGCAUCAGCAAAUGAAAGAGAAGUGCAGUUACUUCGAAUAUCCUUGCGACAGCAGAAGGAGAAGAUAAAACAACUACAUGAACUUCUUAUAUUAAGAGAGCAAGAGCAAAGGAAAGAACUUGAAGCCCGAGUUGCUUUAAAUGGACCUGAAUUCCAAGCUGCUUUGGCGAAAGAAGUGGCUAAAGAGCAACAGAGACAUGAACAGCGUGUUAAAGAACUUCAAGAGACAAUUAAUAUGUUGAACCAGAAGUACAAGGAGUUAGAAGAUGAAUUUCGUUUAGCAUUAACAAUUGAAGGAAAAAGGUUUAGAGAGGUAAAAGAGAGUUUUGAGAACAUUGCUGCUGAUCUAGCUGAACAUAAACGAGCUGUCUUCGAGUUGGAACAAAAGGAAAAAGAGAUGGCAAGUCUGAUCCAAGACCUGACAAGUCUAGUGAAAGAACAGAAAACAAAGAUUGCAGAAUUAACAAAAUCAAAUGAAGAAGCUACAACAAACCUAAAGUGUAGAACUGAAGAACUUGAAACUGUGAUUGAGGAGGACAAACAGAAGGGUGUUCAAGUUGAACUUCUGAAAAAGGAAAAUGGAAAACUUAUUUCUCAGCUGACAGCCCAAGAAUCUGUGAUUGAUGGGUUAAAAAUGGAAAGAAAAAUAUGGGGACAGGAGUUAGCACAACAGGGAGCUCACCUUGCUCAAGAUCGGGGAAAACUAGAGGCAAAAAUUGAAGUUCUGACAAAUGAGAUUGAGGUGCUAAAAAAACAGAAGGAACAAGAUAGUGAUACUAUAAAAAUUAAAAACAAAAUAAUGGAUGAUCAGACAGAAACAAUCAGAAGACUAAAGGAAGGCGUACAAGAAAAAGAUAAACAAAUCAGAAAACAGCAGGAAGAAAAUGUAAAAGCUCACAAGUGUCUUCAAGUCCAGUUGGAUGAAAAAGCUGCUGAAUUGGAAAGGCUGCUAGAUAAAAUAGAAAGGCAGAAUGAAAGAAAAGAGGAAUUAAAGCAACUACUAGAAGAAAAAGAAUUAGAACUUGACGACAUUAAGAAUGCACACAGUGCACUGAAAAAGGAGUGGCAAGGUAAAGGAAAGCUACUGAGCCAGCUGGAAUUGCAGGUUAAACAAAUAAAAGAGAACUUUGACAUCAAAGAGAAGAAGCUGAUUGAAGAGAGAAAUAAAAGCCUUCAAACUCAGAGGAUUGCUGUGGAAAAGCUUCAUGAAAUGGAUGAUGCAUUUAGAAAACAACUUGAGUCAAUACGGGCAGCUCAUCAAGAAGAACUACUGCAGAUGGCAAGUGAAAAGGAGAAAGAAAUUGAAGCAGCAAAUGAAAAAGUUUACUGCAUUGAAGAAGAAAUGCAGAAGCUUCUGCAGGAAACAGCAAACAGUAAAAAAGCCAUGGAAAAUAAAAUCAGACGACUUACAGAUGCACUGAAUGAUAUUCAACAAGACUUUUGAAGAUGAUUAUAUACACUAAAAUGUGUGUAACACUAUCUAAAAUUCUUACGCUGCAAUGCACUUUCCCCUGUUUUCUAGACACUCAGACCCCCAGGAGCUUCCCAAUAUGUGACAAGUGGACAAGAAACCAGCCAGGGAACACCGAGUGAGCUUGUGCAUGCCACCAUGGGACCACCUGCCUGACAGCUCAGCUUGCAAGGACUGAAAGACCACCAUUCUGGACCACCAUACCUGGAACUGAGCUCCUGUUACCUAACACACACAGGAGGUGAAGGCUUCCUGUUGUGACAGAUGAUGCUGAUUCUGACCCAAGCGCAGUCUAGCGGCUCCUGGUUUAUCAUCAGCAGCAAUCCUUUCAGAGACACCGGCUGGACAAGGGGGGCUCAACUCUGGAAACACACCGAGCAUGCCCAACACAACUGGACAGUGGGCCUGGCUAAGCAAAUCUCUCCUGGCAAAUGAAUCAUAGAAUCAGACAGGUUGGAAGAGACCUACAAGACCAUCCAGUCGAGCCUGUCACCCAGCCCUAUCCCAUCAACUAGACCAUGAUUCUUAAGUGCCUCAUCCAGGCUUUUCUUGAACACCUCCAGGAAUGGUGACUCCACCACCUCCCUGGGUAGCCCAUUCCAAUGCCAAUCACUCUCUGUGUGAAGAACUUCCUCCUAACAUCCAGCCUAUGCUUGCCCUGGCACAACUUGAGACUGUGUCCCCUUGUUCUAUUGCUGGUUGUCUGGGACAAGAGAUCAAGCCUCACCUGGCUACAGCCUCCUUUCAGCCUGUCUAGGUCCCUCUGCAGAGCUCUCCUACCCUCCAACAGAUCGACAUCUGCUCCUAGCUUGGUGUCAUCUGCAAACUUACUGAUGAUGGACUCAAUCUCCUGGUCCAGAUCAUCGAUAUUCCUUGCUUUUUGGCUCAAAAUUCCCGUACUACAGUACUUGGAUCCAGAUACUUCAAUUUCUAUCUUGGAAAAAGUACAUUAGCAAAAAUGUGGUGUAGGUGAAAGCUGUGCCAAAUUUACCUGUUCAUAAGGAUAAACUUCAGCCUGAUGGUACUGAAAGGUUCAGGUGGUGACUGAAAGCAAGCCGUGUACCCGAGUUAAGAUUAAGGCCGCAUUUAUUUGGACACCAGUGCAAGGGACUGGGCUGCCGAUACCCUGGCUGUGAGGCAAAAGAGAAGGAUCUAUGAUAUCACCAAUGUUUUGGAGGGGAUAGAUCUCAUCGAGAAGAA